ACCCAAUAGAUACCCGGGUAGUCCACGCCCUAAACGAUGUAUGCUUGGUGUUGGCUCGUAUGAGUCAGUGCCGUAGGUAAACCUGAUAAGCAUACCACCUGGGGAGUACGCUCGCAAGGGUGAGACUCAAAGGAAUUGACGGGGGCCCGCACAAGCGGUGGAGCAUGUGGUUUAAUUCGAGGCUACGCGAAGAACCUUACCUGGGCUUGAACUGCCGGUAGUAGGACCCUGAAAGGGGAACGACCCGCAAGGGAGCCGGCGGAGGUGCUGCAUGGCUGCCGUCAGCUCGUGCCGUGAGGUGUUGGGUUAAGUCCCGCAACGAGCGCAACCCCUACCCUUAGUUGCCAUCAGGUUAUGCUGGGCACUCUAAGGGGACUGCCUACGCAAGUAGUGAGGAAGGUGGGGAUGAUGUCAAGUCAUCAUGGUCCUUACGUCCAGGGCUACACACGUGCUACAAUGAACGGUACAAUGGGCAAAACCGCAAGGUGGAGGCAAUCCCAAAAACCGUCCUCAGUACGGAUUGGAGUCUGCAACUCGACUCC
rnacentral:rRNA from 1 species